CCUUGUACACACCGCCCGUCACACCAUGGGAGUGGGUUGUACCAGAAGUAGGUAGAAUAACCGCAAGGGGUUCGCUUACCACGGUAUGAUUCAUGACUGGGGUGA
rnacentral:rRNA from 1 species